rnacentral:rRNA from 1 species
AGAGGAAGUUUUCGGAUGGAAUCGGCGUAACUUAGUGGCGGACGGGUGAGUAACGCGUGGGAAACCUGCCCUGUACCGGGGGAUAACACUUAGAAAUAGGUGCUAAUACCGCAUAAGCGCACAGCUUCACAUGAAGCAGUGUGAAAAACUCCGGUGGUACAGGAUGGUCCCGCGUCUGAUUAGCCAGUUGGCAGGGUAACGGCCUACCAAAGCGACGAUCAGUAGCCGGCCUGAGAGGGUGAACGGCCACAUUGGGACUGAGACACGGCCCAAACUCCUACGGGAGGCAGCAGUGGGGAAUAUUGCACAAUGGGGGAAACCCUGAUGCAGCGACGCCGCGUGAGUGAAGAAGUAUUUCGGUAUGUAAAGCUCUAUCAGCAGGGAAGAAAAUGACGGUACCUGACUAAGAAGCCCCGGCUAACUACGUGCCAGCAGCCGCGGUAAUACGUAGGGGGCAAGCGUUAUCCGGAUUUACUGGGUGUAAAGGGAGCGUAGACGGCAUGACAAGCCAGAUGUGAAAACCCAGGGCUCAACCCUGGGACUGCAUUUGGAACUGCCAGGCUGGAGUGCAGGAGAGGUAAGCGGAAUUCCUAGUGUAGCGGUGAAAUGCGUAGAUAUUAGGAGGAACACCAGUGGCGAAGGCGGCUUACUGGACUGUAACUGACGUUGAGGCUCGAAAGCGUGGGGAGCAAACAGGAUUAGAUACCCUGGUAGUCCACGCGGUAAACGAUGAUUGCUAGGUGUAGGUGGGUAUGGACCCAUCGGUGCCGCAGCUAACGCAAUAAGCAAUCCACCUGG